rnacentral:lncRNA from 1 species
UCAUUGCUCACACCUGCAAUAUGAGACCUUCUCCAUUUGCUCCAGGUGACCCUGAGUUGCUGGCUUAGUUAGCCAGUUCACUGAAGAAGAUAAAACCUGAAGGAAGGAGCCAAGUUGAGAGGAUCCUGCUGGGGCAAAGAAGAGGAACCCAGAAUCAGGCUGAAGUAGUUAUGUGCCUGAAGAUUAGGAGCUGCAGAAGCUGUUCUAUCCAGAGAUGUAAGCCUUACUUUCACUGUACCAGGUGUAACUGCUGGAUUUGUACUUCAGUUUUGAUUGAAACAUUUGCUUGGAAGACAAAAGAUACUGGAAGAUAUGGGAUGAAUUCUGUCCUGGAGAUUAACACAGUUCCUUGUGUCAUAUGCUGUCCCCUGAACUUGGCAGGCUGAAACUUACUGUAGUUUCAGAGUAAGGACUGUAGAACAGAUGAUGUUAAGCUCUAUAAGGACACAAUGAGCAAAGAUGCAUCAAACUUCUUUUCAAGAAGUGGAGGUAGAAUUAAUUUAGUGCAGACUUGCUUAAUUAGUGAUGCACUAUUUAGUGAGAGGAAGUCUGUAGUGUAAUAGAGGUACAAAUUUUGUAUUUUGUGUCCUUAACCGUGUUUCCCUCUUGUAUGUUAAAUGACACUUUGCUUUUUGUCAAUGUGUUUGUGAAUCAAGAAUUUAUAACUAACUAAACAGUUUGUUUUAUUGGCAUCCUGAUUAUAGUAGCAGCCAGAAGUUUUUGUUUAACUGAAAUAUGUGAAGCCAAGACUAAGUUUCAGUUUAGGGAAAUGUAGUAGGUACCUUUCAUAUCAGUUCAAUUUGAAUUUUCAGACAAUUUACAGUUGAAAUGUGAUAUGUUAAGCUGCAGGUAUGACACAUGUAUUUGCACUUCUCUGUAAACUUCAGAGAAGACAGUGGCUGCUGCAACACAGAGCCAAAUCCUGAUGCAGGGUCUGUGCAGGUGGUGAUAAAUGGAGUGUAUUACUCAGCAGGGAGUGGGCCUUCCUCAAAGAGUUGAAGGAUAAUGCAGUGAGGGUGAAGGGAAAUAAGGUUUUUUGUGUGUGUGUGUAUGCAGUGGGGCUACUUUUAGCCUAGUGCAUAUCAAGUGGCCUCAAAAAAUAAACCAAAAAUCUCAGCCUUAUGCCA